AUACGUAGGUGGCGAGCGUUGUCCGGAUUUACUGGGUGUAAAGGGCGAGUAGGCGGGUUAACAAGUCAGAUGUGAAAUACCGAGGCUCAACUUCGGGGCUGCAUUUGAAACUGUUAGUCUUGAGUGAUGGAGAGGCAGGCGGAAUUCCCAGUGCAGCGGUGAAAUGCAUAUAGAUUGGGAGGAACACCAGUGACGAAGGCGGCCUGCUGGACAUCAACUGACGCUGAGGAGCGAAAGUGUGGGGAGCAAACAGGAUUAGAUACCCUGGUAGUCCACACCGUAAACGAUGGAUACUAGGUGUGCGGGGACUGACCCCCUGCGUGCCGGAGUUAACACAUUAAGUAUCCCACCUGGGGAGUACGAUCGCAAGAUUGAAACUCAAAUGAAUUGACGGG
rnacentral:rRNA from 1 species